rnacentral:lncRNA from 1 species
UAAAUUAAAAUAGCAUUCUACAAACUGCAAAAAGAAAAACUUAGAUCAUUAAGUUUUUUUUCACUAGAGAGAGAUUAAAUAAAAAUAAUCAAAAUGUUUUGUUUUUCAGUUCUCGUGCUUGAGAUCAACUAGGAUCGGCAAAAAUGGCCCAAACCCAUUUAAUCCGCCCAAACCCGCCUGAUGUUGGUUUCUAAUGGGCUGACUUUGGAUAUAGCCCAUAUUAAUCCGUAAAAUCAGCUCGCCCAAGUGCAGUGCAGUAGUGAAGG